CAAGCACCUAAACCCAAGAACUGCUGUUUGCUGUAGCAGCAGUUGAAACAGGUGCUAACAGCAAGUGGAUCUUGUCGCCUUUGGGGGCUGUGACUGUGCCCCUCAAAGUGAAUUGGAAGGUUCUACACUC
ensembl:snoRNA small nucleolar RNA SNORA68